UACAGAGGUCUCAACCGUUGUUCGGAUUCAUUGGGCGUAAAGGGUGCGUAGGCGGUCGUGCAAGUCGGAUGUGAAAUCUCAGGGCUCAACCCUGAAACUGCAUUCGAUACUGCGCGGCUAGAGUGCUGGAGGGGAGACUGGAAUUUACGGUGUAGCAGUGAAAUGCGUAGAUAUCGUAAGGAAGACCAGUGGCGAAGGCGAGUCUCUGGACAGUUCCUGACACUGAGGCACGAAGGCCAGGGGAGCAAACGGG
rnacentral:rRNA from 1 species